rnacentral:siRNA from 1 species
CUGGGGUUACUGGAGGACGUGC